CUCGCUAGGCGGUUGGCGGGCUGUUCAAACAUCAGCGCGGUUGUGGGAGCCGUGUUUCUCUUAGCGCGUGAUGCAGAGCUGGAUCUGCGCUCAGUUUUUCUCCUUUGUGCUGUGCUCAGAUCGGUCCUGAGUGCUUUUAAAAACCUUUUUUAAUGCCUGUCGCUUAAAGUGGGUGAUCUCAAUAGGAUCUGAGGGAAUGGCACGGUGCUAUAUCAGGGGGGGUCAGGUAGGGGUGAGGGUGGUAAGCAUGGAGCAGGUUGCCUAGGGCAGUGAGCACAGCCCCAAACUGCCAGAGCUCAGGGAGCAUAGGGACACUGCUCUCAGUCUUUGGGUUCGGGUGGUGUUUUGUGGAACCAGGGUUAAGCUCGAGAAAGCAGCUCCUUUGGAAAGGAUGUGGGAAGUUUCUAGUGAGCACAGUAAGUCAAAUAAAAUGUGAAGAAAAGCCUUAAACUGAAUAAAAUGUAAGCACGCUACUGAUACAAGUGUUCACAAAAGAGGUGCUUCACCCCUUCUGUGUUACCUGAAAACCCCUUGAAGGAGCCAGCAUGGUCACUGCAAGAGAGAAGUGAGCUGUGAAUGUAGCAGCUGCUGAGACCUGCACCAUUGACACUACCUGGAAAGAACUUGAGAACAGUACUUCUCCCUCACACACCACAGUUGCUGUACAUCUGAGACGAGUGGUGUGGUUUGUGUUGAAGAGCGGGGUGCUAUUCAGCGGCAUGAAAGAUUCCAUGUAAUUAAUAUAGUUGCAUGGGAAAAUCAUGUAUUUAUGAAGCUGCUGCGCUGUUAUUCCUGUUCUUAGCAUGGCUGCAAAAUGAAGUCAGUAUUAUCGCAGGUUGCAGGUUAAUUGUCAACAUCCCUGCGCUAAGAGUCAUUACUGAGUAACUGCUGGGACAUUUAAUUGCUUAAGCAAUUAAUAACUGGGCAGAAAUGGAGGGCUGCAUAUUCCCAUGAGUGACUCCCUGCAAGCAUUAGCAGAUAAAGCAGCUAACUGCAAAAUGAAUCAUAAAUGUGAGCAGUCACCAUCAGUUAUUAUGCAUUGAUACUGAGUGGAGAGUUUGCAGGAGAUCUCAGAACUAGCAGCAGUUGCAAUGCGGAGAAAGUCUUUUCUAGGGCCUCCUGAAGGAGGACAGACUCAUGCUUGCUACUCUCCUACCUCCUGCAGCUCAUACUGAAGGGGCUGAAGCUGAUGGUACCAGGUCUAAAAAUCAUGGAACACAAAGGAGAGCUUUCAAGAGAGUGCCCUUAAAACGCCUCUGGCCUGCCCUGGAAGUUUCUCUAUAGCCAGUCUCACACCUCUGAUCUGACAAGACUUUGGGAAGCUGUGAGCACCAUCAGUGACUGCCAGACAUUGCAGGGUAUCAUUUAAAAUGCAAUUAAGAGACUCUGCAGCUCUCCGUAGAGAGAAGAAAGGCUGCCUUUGCUGGUGACCUGUGCAAUGAAGAAGUUGUGACACCUCCGACAUCAAUAAUUAAUGCAGAGGGCUGAAGAGAGGGACCUUACGACUGUGAAUGGAAUAAAUGAUAAAAAUGGACAGAAUAAAGAGAUGCAACAUCUUUGUAUUCCUUCCACUUGCAUUGUACAAAGGCAGUGUGUGAUCAGCGCAGACCUUCAGUCAUUAUUUUCUGCUCCUGUAAGUAUUAUAGCCCAUCUUCAGAGCAAGUAGAAACAAUGGCAAAUCCUAACCUGCUGCAAAAUCACAGCAGUGAAGCUGCUCUUGCUGCCACCUAACAUCUUGCUUGAAAAUAUAGGGCCAGGUCUCCAAAAUUCAACACUGAAUUGAAUUUUUCAACUUGAAAUCAGACUGCUACAAUGGUACUGCCAGAUACUCACAGGGGCAAAUGAAUGUCCUCAAAAGGACUAAACUCUGUAUUUAAAACUACUUUUGCUAAAUCCUUGGUAGUAUAAGUCAAAUGGUGUAGAUUGGAGCUCAUUUGCAAAGUGCUACAAGCUUUAUUCAUGGCUAAUAAGGAUAAAAUCAAACAUGACCAUAGGUGUAACUGCAAUUUUUGUAUUAGAUGCAACAAUGCUGUUCAUUGUACCUGAGAAAUAGUUUGGUUUGUUCACUGUCACAGUGCAGAAAGGUGCUUUCACUCUCUGUGAGGAAGAUUUACCAGGUCAACAGGAGAUUGUAGCAUAAACAUGAACCUCGUAUGACUUCAAAAAGCCAACGCACAUUCCUCUUCCUGCUCUUCGUUCAGCACAGCAGACCAUCUCUUGCUGUGCUUCCCUGUUCCCUGUGAUUCAUACAGUGCUGGAAUUUAUACUCCAAAUGUACCUGUGCUGUGCUGUUAGUCACCUGCAUUUUCUGGCCAGGCUUGAGUUUGGCUGCAGCAUCUGGAAGUGCCUGUGAUGCUCGAGGCUUCCUGCAUUCCACAAUACAAAAACCUGUGCUGACCAUGCUGAAACAACAGCUUGUCAGAUACUGACAGCUGACGUCUUACUCUGUUCUUAUCAGAAAUGUCCUGGCUUAGGAAACCCAGGCCCACAGAAUUUCCCCUUAACACCCUCCCCAGCCGAGAGAUCAGGUUUGAUCUCACUGCACACCAAAAGACAGCUUGGGGAGGGAAGGAUGUGUCACUGAAGCUCAGAGGGUUGCUGUAAUGCUACUGAACCGAAGGGAACCUUUUUCCAGUUACAUAUUAUCAUCUUGCUGCUCCCAAGGAAGAACACCAUCACACAUUUGACUAUUCCCUUCAUCUGAGAGAGAGAGAAUGGUAUUAUCAGCAGUGCAGGAAGCUGGGCUGUAAUUAAACCCCCUUGAAAUGCACUGCAAUACAGGAGCACGAGUAGGGUUGCUUUUUUUUGGGCCAAGGAAUGGGAAUUCACAUCACUGCAGAGACUGUGCCAAUGUUUUCACUGAAUUAAACCACGCUGGUC